rnacentral:rRNA from 1 species
AACGAACGCUGGCGGCAUGCCUAACACAUGCAAGUCGAACGAAGGCUUCGGCCUUAGUGGCGCACGGGUGCGUAACGCGUGGGAAUCUGCCCUUUGGUUCGGAAUAACAGCUGGAAACGGCUGCUAAUACCGGAUGAUGACGAAAGUCCAAAGAUUUAUCGCCAGAGGAUGAGCCCGCGUUGGAUUAGGUAGUUGGUGGGGUAAAGGCCUACCAAGCCGACGAUCCAUAGCUGGUCUGAGAGGAUGAUCAGCCACACUGGGACUGAGACACGGCCCAGACUCCUACGGGAGGCAGCAGUGGGGAAUAUUGGACAAUGGGCGCAAGCCUGAUCCAGCAAUGCCGCGUGAGUGAUGAAGGCCCUAGGGUUGUAAAGCUCUUUUACACGGGAAGAUAAUGACUGUACCGGGAGAAUAAGCCCCGGCUAACUCCGUG